GAUGAACGCUGGCGGCGUGCCUAAUACAUGCAAGUCGAGCGAACAGACGAGGAGCUUGCUCCUCUGACGUUAGCGGCGGACGGGUGAGUAACACGUGGAUAACCUACCUAUAAGACUGGGAUAACUUCGGGAAACCUGAGCUAAUACCGGAUAAUAUAUUGAACCGCAUGGGUCAAUAGUUAAAGACGGUUUUGCUGUCACUUAUAGAUGGAUCCGCGCCGUAUUGGCUAGUUGGUAAGCUAACGUCUGACCAAGGCCACGAUGCGUAGACGACCUGACAGGCUGAUCGGCCACCCUGGAGCGGAGACACGCUCCAUAGGACUGCGGGAGGCCGCAGUCGGGAAUGUUCCGCAACGGGCGAAAACAUGACGCAGCAACGCCGCGUGAGUGACAGAGAUCUUCGGAUCGUAAAACCCUGUUACGAGGGAAGAACAACUGUGUAAGUAAAUAUGCACGUCUUGACGGUACCUAGUCAGAAAGCAACGGCUAACUACGUG
rnacentral:rRNA from 1 species